AGGUAACGGCUUACCAAGGCGACGAUCAGUAGCCGGACUGAGAGGUUGAUCGGCCACAUUGGGACUGAGACACGGCCCAGACUCCUACGGGAGGCAGCAGUGGGGAAUAUUGCACAAUGAAGGAAACUCUGAUGCAGCGAUGCCGCGUGAGGGAAGAAGGUUUUAGGAUUGUAAACCUCUGUCUUCAGGGACGAAAAAAGACGGUACCUGAGGAGGAAGCUCCGGCUAACUACGUGCCAGCAGCCGCGGUAAUACGUAGGGAGCGAGCGUUGUCCGGAAUUACUGGGUGUAAAGGGAGCGUAGGCGGGAUCGCAAGUCAGAUGUGAAAACUAUGGGCUUAACCCAUAAACUGCCUUUGAAACUGUGGUUCUUGAGUGAAGUAGAGGUAAGCGGAAUUCCUAGUGUAGCGGUGAAAUGCGUAGAUAUUAGGAGGAACAUCAGUGGCGAAGGCGGCUUACUGGGCUUUAACUGACGCUGAGGCUCGAAAGCGUGGGGAGCAAACAGGAUUAGAUACCCUGGUAGUCCACGCCGUAAACGAUGAUUACUAGGUGUGGGGGGACUGACCCCUUCCGUGCCGCAGCAAACGCAAUAAGUAAUCCACCUGGGGAGUACGACCGCAAGGUUGAAACUCAAAGGAAUUGACGGGGGCCCGCACAAGCAGUGGAGUAUGUGGAUUAAUUCGAAGCAACGCGAAGAACCUUACCAGGUCUUGACAUCGUAUGCAUAGCUCAGAGAUGAGUGAAAUCUCUUCGGAGACAUAUAGACAGGUGGUGCAUGGUUGUCGUCAGCUCGUGUCGUGAGAUGUUGGGUUAAGUCCCGCAACGAGCGCAACCCUUACUGUUAGUUGCUACGCAAGAGCACUCUAGCAGGACUGCCGUUGACAAAACGGAGGAAGGUGGGGAUGACGUCAAAUCAUCAUGCCCCUUAUGACCUGGGCCUCACACGUACUACAAUGGCUGUCAACAGAGGGAAGCAAAGCCGCGAGGUGGAGCGAACCCCUAAAAGCAGUCUUAGUUCGGAUUGUAGGCUGCAACCCGCCUACAUGAAGUCGGAAUUGCUAGUAAUCGCAGAUCAGCAUGCUGCGGUGAAUACGUUCCCGGGCCUUGUACACACCGCCCGUCACGCCAUGGGAGUCGGUAACACCCGAAGCCUGUAGUCUAACCGCAAGGAGGACGCAGUCGAAGGUGGGAUUGAUGACUGGGGUGAAGUCGUAACAAGGUAGCCGUACCGGAAGGUGCGGCUG
rnacentral:rRNA from 1 species